GAUGAACGCUAGCGACAGGCUUAACACAUGCAAGUCGAGGGGCAGCAUAAGGUAGCAAUACUUUGAUGGCGACCGGCGCACGGGUGAGUAACGCGUAUGCAACCUACCUAUCAGAGGGGAAUAACCCGGCGAAAGUCGGACUAAUACCGCAUAAAACAGGGGUUCCGCAUGGAAAUAUUUGUUAAAGAAUUAUCGCUGAUAGAUGGGCAUGCGUUCCAUUAGAUAGUUGGUGAGGUAACGGCUCACCAAGUCUACGAUGGAUAGGGGUUCUGAGAGGAAGGUCCCCCANACUGGUACUGAGACACGGACCAAACUCCUACGGGAGGCAGCAGUGAGGAAUAUUGGUCAAUGGACGAGAGUCUGAACCAGCCAAGUAGCGUGAAGGAUGAAGGUCCUACGGAUUGUAAACUUCUUUUAUAAGGGAAUAAACCCUCCCAACGUGUGGGAGCUUGUAUGUACCUUAUGAAUAAGCAUC
rnacentral:rRNA from 1 species